rnacentral:rRNA from 1 species
CGCUCAUCAUAGCCUGCUAUUUUUAGUGACUGAGCGGCGAACGGGUGAGUAACACGUGGGUAAUCUCGCCUGGAAGUCUGGGAUAACAGUUGGAAACGGCUGCUAAUACCGGAUGACAUUGCAGCUGUANAGGCUGUAAUCAAAGCGUUAUGUAGCGCUUCCAGAUGAGCCCGCGUCCCAUUAGUUAGUUGGUGGGGUAAAGGCCUACCAAGGUCGACGAUGGGUAGCCGGUCUGAGAGGAUGGUCGGCCACACUGGGACUGAGACACGGCCCAGACUCCUACGGGAGGCAGCAGUGGGGAAUUUUGCGCAAUGGGGGCAACCCUGACGCAGCGACGCCGCGUGAGUGAUGAAGGCCUUCGGGUUGUAAAGCUCUGUCUAGGGGGAAGAUAGUGACGGUACCCCUGGAGGAAGCCCCGGCUAACUACGUGCCAGCAGCCGCGGUAAGACGUAGGGGGCGAGCGUUGUCCGGAAUUACUGGGCCGUAAAGGGCGUGUAGGCGGCCUUUCAAGGUCAGCUGUGAAAUUCCCCGGCUCAACUGGGGGUCUGCAAGUUGAAACCUGUUUGGGCUUGAAGUGCAGGAAAGGGAGGGUGGAAAUUCCCG